UACGAAGGGGCUAGCGUUGCUCGGAAUCACUGGGCGUAAAGGGUGCGUAGGCGGGUCUUUAAGUCAGGGGUGAAAUCCUGGAGCUCAACUCCAGAACUGCCUUUGAUACUGAGGAUCUUGAGUCCGGGAGAGGUGAGUGGAACUGCGAGUGUAGAGGUGAAAUUCGUAGAUAUUCGCAAGAACACCAGUGGCGAAGGCGGCUCACUGGCCCGGUACUGACGCUGAGGCACGGAAAGC
rnacentral:rRNA from 1 species